rnacentral:tRNA from 1 species
AAUGAAGUGCCUGAUUAAAGGGCUAUCUUGAUAGGGUAGAUUAAGUAAUAUCCGUUACCUUCAUUA